GACGAACGCUGGCGGCGUGCUUAACACAUGCAAGUCGAACGGAAAGGCCCUGCUUUUGUGGGGUGCUCGAGUGGCGAACGGGUGAGUAACACGUGAGUAACCUGCCCUUGACUUUGGGAUAACUUCAGGAAACUGGGGCUAAUACCGGAUAGGAGCUCCUGCUGCAUGGUGGGGGUUGGAAAGUUUCGGCGGUUGGGGAUGGACUCGCGGCUUAUCGGCUUGUUGGUGGGGUAGUGGCUUACCAAGGCUUUGACGGGUAGCCGGCCUGAGAGGGUGACCGGCCACAUUGGGACUGAGAUACGGCCCAGACUCCUACGGGGGGCAGCAGUGGGGAAUAUUGCACAAUGGGCGGAAGCCUGAUGCAGCAACGCCGCGUGCGGGAUGACGGCCUUCGGGUUGUAAACCGCUUUCGCCUGUGACGAAGCGUGAGUGACGGUAAUGGGUAAAGAAGCACCGGCUAACUACGUGCCAGCAGCCGCGGUGAUACGUAGGGUGCGAGCGUUGUCCGGAUUUAUUGGGCGUAAAGGGCUCGUAGGUGGUUGAUCGCGUCGGAAGUGUAAUCUUGGGGCUUAACCCUGAGCGUGCUUUCGAUACGGGUUGACUUGAGGAAGGUAGGGGAGAAUGGAAUUCCUGGUGGAGCGGUGGAAUGCGCAGAUAUCAGGAGGAACACCAGUGGCGAAGGCGGUUCUCUGGGCCUUUCCUGACGCUGAGGAGGGAAAGCGUGGGGAGCGAACAGGCUUAGAUACCCUGGUAGUCCACGCUGUAAACGGUGGGUACUAGGUGUGGGGUCCAUUCCACGGGUUCCGUGCCGUAGCUAACGCUUUAAGUACCCCGCCUGGGGAGUACGGCCGCAAGGCUAAAACUCAAAGGAAUUGACGGGGCCCCGCACAAGCGGCGGAGCAUGCGGAUUAAUUCGAUGCAACGCGUAGAACCUUACCUGGGUUUGACAUGGAUCGGGAGUGCUCAGAGAUGGGUGUGCCUCUUUUGGGGUCGGUUCACAGGUGGUGCAUGGCUGUCGUCAGCUCGUGUCGUGAGAUGUUGGGUUAAGUCCCGCAACGAGCGCAACCCUUGUUCACUGUUGCCAGCACGUUAUGGUGGGGACUCAGUGGAGACCGCCGGGGUCAACUCGGAGGAAGGUGGGGAUGACGUCAAGUCAUCAUGCCCCUUAUGUCCAGGGCUUCACGCAUGCUACAAUGGCUGGUACAGAGAGUGGCGAGCCUGUGAGGGUGAGCGAAUCUCGGAAAGCCGGUCUCAGUUCGGAUUGGGGUCUGCAACUCGACCUCAUGAAGUCGGAGUCGCUAGUAAUCGCAGAUCAGCAACGCUGCGGUGAAUACGUUCCCGGGGCUUGUACACACCGCCCGUCAAGUCAUGAAAGUUGGUAACACCCGAAGCCGGUGGCCUAACCGUUGUGGGGGAGCCGUCGAAGGUGGGACUGG
rnacentral:rRNA from 1 species